AUCAAAUGGAGAGUUUGAUCCUGGCUCAGGAUGAACGCUGGCGGCAUGCCUAAUACAUGCAAGUCGAACGAAGUUUCGAGGAAGCUUGCUUCCAAAGAGACUUAGUGGCGAACGGGUGAGUAACACGUAGGUAACCUGCCCAUG
rnacentral:rRNA from 1 species